rnacentral:rRNA from 1 species
GUCGAACGGUCUAAUGCUUAACACUGAGUAUUCAGUAAAGUUGGAACAGCGAGAGCGCGAAGUAUGAGCGCUCCACGCAUUAAAUAAGUGUCAACACACGAUAGAGUGUGUGCCAACACAAUUAGGAAACUGAAUGUUGAGUGUUAAGUAUUAGAUAGUGGCGGACGGGUGAGUAACGCGUGGGUAACCUACCCAUAAACCCGGGACAACCCUUGGAAACGAGGGCUAAUACCGAAUAAUCUUUGAGAGUGGCAUCACUCUUUAAGGAAAGGUGGCCUCUGAAAAUGCUACCGAUUAUGGAUGGACCCGCGUCUGAUUAGCUAGUUGGUGGGGUAAAGGCCUACCAAGGCGACGAUCAGUAGCCGGCCUGAGAGGGUGAACGGCCACACUGGGACUGAGACACGGCCCAGACUCCUACGGGAGGCAGCAGUAGGGAAUCUUCGGCAAUGGACGCAAGUCUGACCGAGCAAUGCCGCGUGAGUGAGGAAGGCCCUCGGGUCGUAAAGCUCUGUUACCAGGGAAGAACGCUUGCGAGAGUAACUGCUCGUAAGGUGACGGUACCUGAGAAGAAAGCCCCGGCUAACUACGUGCCAGCAGCCGCGGUAAUACGUAGGGGGCAAGCGUUGUCCGGAAUUAUUGGGCGUAAAGCGCGCGCAGGCGGCUAAUUAAGUCUCAUGUAUAACCCCAAGGCUCAACCUUGGAUCGCAUGGGAAACUGGUUGGCUUGAGUGUAGGAGAGGAAAGUGGAAUUCCACGUGUAGCGGUGAAAUGCGUAGAUAUGUGGAGGAACACCAGUGGCGAAGGCGACUUUCUGGCCUAUAACUGACGCUGAGGCGCGAAAGCGUGGGGAGCAAACAGGAUUAGAUA